rnacentral:rRNA from 1 species
AUUGAACGCUGGCGGCAUGCCUUACACAUGCAAGUCGAACGGCAGCACGGGAGCAAUCCUGGUGGCGAGUGGCGAACGGGUGAGUAAUACAUCGGAACGUGCCCAGUAAUGGGGGACAACUAGUUGAAAGAUUAGCUAAUACCGCAUACGACCUACGGGUGAAAGCAGGGGAUCGCAAGACCUUGCGUUAUUGGAGCGGCCGAUGUCAGAUUAGCUUGUUGGUGAGGUAAAAAGCUCACCAAGGCGACGAUCUGUAGCUGGUCUGAGAGGACGACCAGCCACACUGGAACUGAGACACGGUCCAGACUCCUACGGGAGGCAGCAGUGGGGAAUUUUGGACAAUGGGCGCAAGCCUGAUCCAGCCAUGCCGCGUGAGUGAAGAAGGCCU